UACGGAGGGUGCAAGCGUUAUCCGGAUUCACUGGGUUUAAAGGGUGCGUAGGAGGGCAGGUAAGUCAGUGGUGAAAUCUCCAAGCUUAACUUGGAAACUGCCGUUGAUACUAUCUGUCUUGAAUACCGUGGAGGUGAGCGGAAUAUGUCAUGUAGCGGUGAAAUGCUUAGAUAUGACAUAGAACACCAAUUGCGAAGGCAGCUCACUACACAAUUAUUGACGCUGAGGCACGAAAGCGUGGGGAUCAAACAGG
rnacentral:rRNA from 1 species